GGCUCAGGACGAACGCUGGCGGCGUGCCUAACACAUGCAAGUCGAGCGGAGUUAACAAGAGGAAGUUUCGGAUGGAAUUUGUUAAUUAGCGGCGGACGGUGAGUAACGCGUGAGCGACCAACCUUGCACAGGGGGAUAACGGACCGAAAGGUUCACUAAUACCGCAUGAGACCACGGUGUUGCAUGACACAGAGGUCAAAGGAGCAAUCCGGUGCAAGACGGGCUCGCGUCCGAUUAGGUAGCUGGUGGGGUAAUGGCCCACCAAGCCUAUGAUCGGUAGCCGACCUGAGAGGGUGAUCGGCCACAUUGGAACUGAGAUACGGUCCAAACUCCUACGGGAGGCAGCAGUGGGGAAUAUUGGGCCAAUGGGGGAAACCCUGACCCAGCAACGCCGCGUGAAGGAAGAAGGUUUUCGGGUUGUAAACUUCUGUCCUUGGUGAAGAGAAGAAGACGGUAGCCAAGGAGGAAGCCCCGGCUAACUACGUGCCAGCCGCUGC
rnacentral:rRNA from 1 species